rnacentral:rRNA from 1 species
GGCUCAGGACGAACGCUGGCGGCGUGCUUAACACAUGCAAGUCGAACGAUGAAGUUAUGACGGAGGCUUCGGCCGACAGAAUAACGGAAUAGUGGCGGACGGGUGAGUAACGCGUGAGUAACCUGCCUUUCAGAGAGGAAUAACAUUUGGAACGAAUGGUAAUACCACAUAACAUUACGUUCUCGCAUGGGGAUGUAAUCAAAGAUUUUAUCGCUGAGAGAUGGACUCGCGUCCGAUUAGCUAGAUGGUGAGGUAACGGCCCACCAUGGCGACGAUCGGUAGCCGGACUGAGAGGUUGAACGGCCACAUUGGGACUGAGACACGGCCCAGACUCCUACGGGAGGCAGCAGUGGGGAAUAUUGCACAAUGGGGGAAACCCUGAUGCAGCAACGCCGCGUGAGUGAUGACGGCCUUCGGGUUGUAAAGCUCUGUCUUCAGGGACGAUAAUGACGGUACCUGAGGAGGAAGCCACGGCUAACUACGUG